rnacentral:misc_RNA from 1 species
GAUGAAGAACGCAGCGAAAUGCGAUACUUGGUGUGAAUUGCAGAAUCCCGUGAACCAUCGAGUUUUUGAACGCAAGUUGCGCCCGAAGCCGUUAGGCCGAGGGCACGCCUGCCUGGGUGUCACACAUCGUUGCCCCAAUGCCAAUCGCCUCACUUUGUAGGUAUUUGCUUGGGGUGAAUGUUGGCCUCCCGUGAGCUUUGUCUCACGGUUGGUUGAAAAUUGAGUCCUUGGUAGGGAGCGCCGUGAUAGAUGGUGGUUGAGUGACGAACGAGACCCAAUCAUGUGAGACCCCUACCGAAUUUGGCCUCCAUGACCCACAUGCGUCUUUGGAACGCUCAUGACGAGACCUCAGGUCAGGCGGGGCUACCCGCUGAGUUUAAGCAUAUCAAUAAGCGGAGGA